rnacentral:lncRNA from 1 species
ACUCUGGCUCGCUGCUCGCGCACACGCGUGCGCUCUCCUCCCUCGCCCCUUUCUUCCCUCUCUCCUCUCUCUCUCUCCCUCCAUCCCUCUCUUUCCUUCUCAGUUUGUGACUGACCCAGCAGCCCCGUCCCCCGUCUGCCACAAGCAGUCCACCUCCUGGUGCUGUGUGCUGCGUGCCAGCCGCUGCUCCCGCUGAGUGGAGACUCUGGCACCAGUGCCCACUGCGCUCUGCCUGCCGGUGGUGUCUGGAUUUCUAUAGGAAUCCCAGGAGGGUCUUACUGGAGGGUUGAGAGCCACCUGAUUGAAGGCGUUUGCAGUCAGAGUAAAGACGGCAGCUGCCGCAGCAUGAACCCCUGAGCUGAUGAGUCUUAUUAUAGCCCGGCUGGCGGAAGACAGAGUGCUGCUAUUCACCUCUGCGUGGGCGUCGGUGGUGCAGGGGGAAGCAGCAGGCCAUCCAGCGGCUCACACCCUACGCGGCUGCAGCUGCCAAGGGCCUGGCCCCUGCCUCCCUCGGGCCAUGGUGAGCUGUGGCGGGGCUAGAGGAACCGGGACCCAGGUGAGGGGAGCCUCCAGGGACAGGUGACAGUUGUGGCCUGUGACCUCACUCUGCUCACCUCGGAGAGAUGACCUCAGUUUCUCCACCCAUAACUCAAG